AGAGGAAGUAAAAGUCGUAACAAGGUUUCCGUAGGUGAACCUGCGGAAGGAUCAUUAUUGAAUAAACUUGAACAGGUUGUUGCUGACUCCUUGAGGGGUAAGUGCACACUUGUCAUCUUUAUUUCUCCAACUGUGCACAUAUUGUAGAUUCUGGUUUUUUGUUUUCUAAAGAGAGAGAGAGAGAAUUGCUGUGCUUUUUUAGAGUCAGCUUUUCUUGCAUUUCCAGAUCUAUGUUAUUUUUUUCACAACCUCUGAAUGUGUUAGAAUGUUGAAUUUUUUUUGGAUAUAUAAUACAACUUUCAGCAAUGGAUCUCUUGGCUCUCGCAUCGAUGAAGAACGCAGCGAAAUGCGAUAAGUAAUGUGAAUUGCAGAAUUCAGUGAAUCAUCGAAUCUUUGAACGCAUCUUGCGCUCCUUGGUAUUCCGACGAGCAUGCCUGUUUGAGUGUCAUCAAGUUCUCAAUCUCAUUAUUGAUUUAAUGUGGCUUUGGAUGUGGAGGUUUUUGCAGGCUUUUCAAAGUCGGCUCCUCUGAAAUGAAUUAGUGGUAUCUGAGCAGUAGAACUACUAUGGGUGUGAUAAAUUUGUCUAUGCCCUUGGUAUACUGCAUGAACAGAUUGCACUGCUUCUAACAAGUGGAAACACAUUUUUGACAAAUUUGACCUCAAAUCAGGUAGGACUACCCGCUGAACUUAAGCAUAUCAAUAA
rnacentral:rRNA from 1 species